AAAAAUUUAGUUAAAAUAUAACGUUAGCUUGUCAAGUUAAAAUUAUCAUAUACUUGAUAAUUUUUG
rnacentral:tRNA from 1 species